ensembl:lncRNA
CCUAUCUCACCCUCCCCGCGGCCUUGCUGCAAGCAGCCUCUCAAGGCCAAACCAGGCUGGUGGGAAAACGCCAGCCUGCACAGCUACAUGCGCCCCCUCCCCUACCCAAAACCCCCAAUAAAAAUCCCUACCCAUUCCUCAUGGGGAGCUAGCAAUUUUUGAGGCAUGAGCCCUUGCUUUGCUCCCUGUGCCUGGCAUAGUAAAAACCUUUCCUCUUCCACUCAAGACUCUGUUCUCGUUAUUUGGAUUGGCGACGGGUUCAGAGACCGAACUUUCGGUUACAAAUUUGGCGACCCAGAUGGGACCCGUGGGUGGUCCCCACUGAGACCCCCUUGGCUUGAUCGGAUGCUCCAGAGUCGUACUCCGUGCCUGCCCCAACAGGGGAAGUGGAGGGUUGGAGGAAGACUCAGGGAGGCCAGAUCGCCGAGGGCCGGUGCUUAGGAGCGCCAGGGACAGCUGGAGGGGCCGCUCCAGCAGCUGCCAAAACCCAUUUUGCUUUGGGAGUCUUCCCUCCUGCCUCCUCCCAGGGCGACUGUUCGGACCUCUUGUUACCAGGGAAACUAUCUUGAGGAAAAGGAAAGUGUAUUUGAUUGAAGUCGCCGCGACGCCCCGGCCAAAUUUUGGGCCGUGGUGCUGAGGCGACGCUGCUCAAGGUGGAUCCGGAGCCCCGCGGCUUCGGAAGCUGAGACACCUAUCGCGAGGGGAGAACCUGGCGCUCCCCCGCUCCGACGCAAGGCGACCCGCCGCCGCAGCCCCGGAAGCGCAUCCUCGGCUUCGCUGGCCUUCCUGUUCCCAGCAGCGCCCGGCUCCGGGCGUUUCUUCGCUCUCUCACGGUCCGCGCCCGCCCUGCCCCAGCCGAGGGCACCCGCGCGGCCAGGGCCGCAGCUGGGAGCCCCGCGCCUCUCGGACGGCCGCGCGACUCGGUGACCACCUCGGAGGCCUCAGUAAAUCUUUCUAGGAGCAGUGUGAGGAGGACAGACGAGCCCUCUGGACUGGCAAGGCCACCGGCCAAGUACUGCUGCCACCAUGCCCAAGAGAAAGGCAAAAGGAGAUGCUAAAGGUGACAAAGCAAAGGUGAAGGAUGAGCCACAGAGGAGAUCAGCACGGUUGUCCGCUAAACCUGCCCCCCCAAAACCAGAGCCCAGGCCUAAAAAGGCCCCUGCAAAGAAGGGAGAGAAGCUGCCCAAAGGGAGAAAGGGGAAAGCAGAUAGUGGCAAGGAUGGGAACAACCCUGCGAAAAACCGAGAUGCCGCCACAGUCCAGUCACAGAAAGCGGAAGGCAGCGGGGAUGCCAAGUGAAGUGUGCUAUUUUGAUAGCUCUGUACUUCUAGUGACUCUGCUGUUUGAAAUACUGUUUUUUUUCAAAUCAACUUUUAUAAAAAUGUAGAAUUUUGUUUUUCUUUUUAAGUUAUAUUGUUAGCACACAGGACACUUAGUUGUCUUUUGUGGAAAGGGCAAAUACCACUAACAGAGUGUUUCAGAAGCUGGAUUAAAAUGGAGGAAAAUAGUAUUUUCUGUCCUCAUUUUUGAAGAUUAUUCUUGGUCCCCGGGAGAGAUUCUCUGACAUUCACACACGAGUCAGUCACUUUGGCUCAGACGCCUUACAGUGUGUGGAAGCAAAACUUCAUGUCUUUGCCUUUCCUGAUACCAUCAGCAUAUAUUUGACUUUCUGAACCCAAGAGUUAUGGUUUCAGAAAACCAGCAUCCCUAAAAUCAGCUGUGUUGGGUAAUAAUCCUCAGGCCUUCUGAUGAAGACAUCGACAUGGUGUUGCUCAAAAGAGCCAAGAUUCCUGUUUGCAAUUUGUGGAUCAUCCCAUUGAUAAUCCUGGAGUUUGUAGUUUUCUCCAAGUCAGAAAUGACCUGUGAAAAGCUCUUACAUGCCUCAUGUGAAAUAUCCACCCCUUCUGACAACUUUGCCUGUUCAAAGCAGGAACAGAAGACUUUGUUGACUUUUUGGGGAGGGGUGUUUGGAAGUUGUAAAAUGUUAUGGAUUGUCACCUAUGUCCUGCUGGAAAUAACUGUUUUUGAAAAGUAUCUUAUGGAGCUGUAUACAAGUUGGCUUGGUGGAAGGGGGGGAUCAUUUCCUACCCAAAGUCAUAAAGAUAUUCUUUACUGCCUUGUAAAAGUUUUACAGUUUUGCUUUUCAUACGUCUUUAGUCUUUAGAACUGGUUUUUGUGAAAAGUAUGAGAUAGAAGUUCAAUAUAAUAUAUUUUCCAUAUAGAUAAGUGGUUGUUGCAGCACCAUUUUCUGAAAAGUUCAUCCUUUCCUCACUGACCUGUAACACUGUCUCUUUCAUAAAUCAAGUUUGUGUGUUUGUGUGGGUCUCUUGAUGGUUUCUGUUCUGACUCACUGGUCAAUUUGUCUAACCUGUGGCAGUACUAUACAAUCCUGAGUAUGACAACUUUAGAAAAAGGUCUUGAUAUCUCAGGACAAAUCCCACCUCCACCUCCAACAUCAUCACCAAAUUUUUCUUCCUUGAGAGUAUCUUGGCUAUUUUUAGCCAUUUGCUUUUCCAUACAAUUUCUAGAAUUAGAUUGAGAAGUUCUAAAUCAAACAAAAAAAAUGUUGGAAUUUUUAUUAGAUUUAUGGAUUAAUUACAGUGUUGAAUCUUCCAAUCCAUGAACAUGGUAUAGCAUUUAUUUAGGCUUUUUAAAUGUCUUUCAAUAAAGUUUUAUAAUUUUCUCCAUAAAUGUCUUCUUUUGUUAAUAUUUCCUGGGGACUUUAUACCUUUUGAUGCUCUUUUAUGUGGUAUAUUUUAGUUACUACAUUUUCUGGUUUUAGCUAAAGUUGAUUUUUGUAUCCAGCAACCUUGCUAAACUCUCAAUUCUUAUAUGUCUGUAUACUUCUUUGGGUUUUCUGCCUAGAUAACCAUAUAUUCUGUGUAUGCAAACAAUUUUUUUUCCUCAC